rnacentral:snRNA from 1 species
ACCGCUUCUUUAGCCUUUUGGCUAAGAUCAAGUGUAGUAUUUGUUAUUAUCAGUUUAAUAUCUGAUAUGACCUUAUCUGAGGACAAUAUAUUAAAUGGAUUUUUGGAGCAGGGAGAUGGAAUAGGAGCUUGCUCCGUCCACUCCACGCAUUGACCUAGUAUUGCAGUACCUCCAGGAACGGUGCACCUCCU